rnacentral:rRNA from 1 species
UACGGAGGGUGCAAGCGUUAUCCGGAUUCACUGGGUUUAAAGGGUGCGUAGGCGGGGAUGUAAGUCCGUGGUGAAAGCUCCGGGCUUAACUUGGAAACUGCCAUUGAUACUGUAUAUCUUGAAUGUCGUUGAGGUUAGCGGAAUGUUGCAUGUAGCGGUGAAAUGCUUAGAUAUGUUACAGAACACCAAUUGUGAAGACAGCUAACUAAGCGAUGAUUGACGCUGAGGCACGAAAGCGUGGGGAGCAAACAGG